GGUGUUGGUCUCUCCUGCAAACCUCCUGGUUCCUCCUGAGUCGGUUCCCCUCCCCUGGAACCCUGCCAUCUCCGGAAAGUCACCUGGUUCCUCUCGCUGUCCCGGACAUCUGGAUUCCCCGGUGCUGCUCGGACCCGACCCCACCUUCGACCCACUGGCCUCCCGGGCACCUGUGGGCCACCAUCGUACGGCUAGCGCUGAGUCCUCACCGCUUCCUCCCCGGUCGGCCUUCCGUCCAUCGAGUGUGAUCGACCCGGUUUCCUGCUCCCUGACCGUUACCUGACGCUGCCUCCGCUGAGGCAGAAUCCUCCCGUUACCUGGUUCUUAAAUAAAACCUUUAAACUUCA